GUUAAAGUAGUAUAGUAUGGUUAUUUGUUAGAUUUGCAAACUGCUUGCAUGUAGUUUAUCAAUCGAAUGCAUAGUUGAUUCUAUAGUCAAACUUGAGCUUGGAUUGUAAUUAAGAUGCUUUUGAAUAUGGUACCAACAAUGCAGCGAAGAGUUAGAGAUGAUGUACUUUUAUUCGUCAAUGACUCCACAUUCACUUUUCCCCUCGAUCAUUAUGUUUAACAUAGCUUAAAAGGUUUCCAUCGUCCGCAUGGUCGAAUGUAGAACAAUCUAACGCCAAUAGCACAUGCUCUUCCCAUUUUCGAAUUUCGACGUUCUGUAAGAUAGUGGAUGUGGUGAUUCAGAAAGUUGCAAAACGAUGUAGUAAAUGAAUUCACACAAACUUACCAGCAACGGUCACUUAUAGCAAGAUAGGGUAGAGUAGAGCUUUAUCAGCAGAAUUUAUGAGGAGAAUGGACUUGAAUCGGCUGAAGAUAAAACGAUAUCCACAAACAGUAUGUGGAGUAGACCCUAAUUAGUUGUCCCGCUUGAUGCAAGAGUUGGUUUGGUAGAAAAGCUGAUGCGUCUGUUCCUAUCGUUUUAAAACACAUAAACAGAUUAUUAAAUAAAUAACUAAACAAAACUUCGGGAAUUAUUCUUGUUUGAUUAUAAGGUAUGUAUUUCUUUAGUUUGGUUUGCACAUGCUUUGUGUAUUACAUUGCAGAGUUAAACAGAGUCGAGGCAUUUUGUAGUUGAUAUCUCUCUCGUCUCUCCUUCAACUGUGCUUAGGAUAAUUCAUAGCUUCAGCAGCUUCA